AAAGAAUUCAACAUUUUGAAGCUCUGAAUAAACAGCAGCACUAUAAAGCAGAAUCUGCUCUGAAAGAAAAGAUAAAGGAAAAUGAAGAUCUCAAACAAAGGAUCCAAGAGAUGGUUACCCAACAGAAGCAACACCAUU